GUGUCAGCAGCCGCGGUAAUACGGAGGGUGCAAACGUUGCUCGGAAUCAUUGGGCGUAAAGCGCACGUAGGCGGUCCACCAAGUUGGAUGUGAAAGCCCUCGGCUUAACUGAGGAAGUGCAUACAAAACUAGUGGACUUGAGUACGGGAGAGGAUCGCGGAAUUCCCGGUGUAGAGGUGAAAUUCGUAGAUAUCGGGAGGAACACCAGUGGCGAAGGCGGCGAUCUGGACCGAUACUGACGCUGAGGUGCGAAAGCGUGGGGAGCAAACAGGAUUAGAUACCCCCGUAGUCC
rnacentral:rRNA from 1 species